rnacentral:rRNA from 1 species
CAGUCGCCACGGGAAUACGAAGGGUGCAAGCGUUACUCGGAAUUACUGGGCGUAAAGCGUGCGUAGGUGGUGGUUUAAGUCCGUUGUGAAAGCCCUGGGCUCAACCUGGGAAUUGCAGUGGACACUGGGUCACUAGAGUGUGGUAGAGGAUAGUGGAAUUUCCGGUGUAGCAGUGAAAUGCGUAGAGAUCGGAAGGAACAUCUAUGGCGAAGGCGACUAUCUGGGCCAACACUGACACUGAGGCACGAAAGCGUGGGGAGCAAACAGGAUUAGAUACCCCCGUAGUCCCUGUCUCUUAUAC